GAUGAAGAACGUAGCGAAAUGCGAUACGUAAUGUGAAUUGCAGAUUUCAGUGAAUCAUCGAAUCUUUGAACGCACAUUGCGCCCGCUAGUAUUCUGGCGGGCAUGCCUGUUCGAGCGUCAUUUCAACCAUCAAGCCCUGUGCUUGUGUUGGAGCCCUGCGGCUGCCGCAGGCUCCCAAACCCAGUGGCGGGCUCGUCGUCGUACCGAGUGCAGUAAACAUACCACGCUCAGGGCACGCGACGGGUGACCGGCCGUAAAACCCCCCCCUUCUCAAGGUUGACCUCGGAUCAGGUAGGAAUACCCGCUGAACUUAAGCAUAUCAAUAAGCGGAGGA
rnacentral:misc_RNA from 1 species